rnacentral:rRNA from 1 species
GACGAACGCUGGCGGCGUGCCUAAUACAUGCAAGUCGAGCGAGCGGCGGACGGGUGAGUAAUGUAUGGGGACUGCCCGAUAGAGGGGGAUAACUACUGGAAACGGUGGCUAAUACCGCAUACUGUCGGAUAACCCAUAGGGGAUUAGCUAGUAGGUAAGGUAAUGGCUUACCUAGGCGACGAUCCCUGGCUGGUCUGAGAGGAUGAUCAGCCACACUGGGACUGCGAUACGGCGCAGACUCCUACGGAGGCAGCAGUGGGGGAUAUUGCACAAGGGGCGAAAGCCAGAUGCAGCGACGCCGCGUGGGGGAUGAAGGCUUUGGAGUUGUAAACCUCUUUCGCAAUCGAACGGGUAGGUGGAGAAGAAGCGCCGGCUAACUACGUGCCAGCAGCCGCGGUAAUAC